GAUGAACGCUGGCGGCGUGCUUAACACAUGCAAGUCGAACGGUGAAGGCGGAGCUUGCUCUGCUGGAUCAGUGGCGAACGGGUGAGUAACACGUGAGCAAUCUGCCCCUGACUCUGGGAUAAGCGCUGGAAACGGCGUCUAAUACUGGAUACGAGCUGCGAAGGCAUCUUCAGCAGCUGGAAAGAAUUUCGGUCAGGGAUGAGCUCGCGGCCUAUCAGCUUGUUGGUGAGGUAAUGGCUCACCAAGGCGUCGACGGGUAGCCGGCCUGAGAGGGUGACCGGCCACACUGGGACUGAGACACGGCCCAGAAUCCUACGGGAGGCAGCAGGGGGGAAUAUUGCACAAUGGGCGAAAGCCUGAUGCAGCAACGCCGCGUGAGGGACGACGGCCUUCGGGUUGUAAACCUCUUUUAGCAGGGAAGAAGCGAAAGUGACGGUACCUGCAGAAAAAGCGCCGGCUAACUACGUG
rnacentral:rRNA from 1 species